rnacentral:rRNA from 1 species
CCUACGGGGGGCAGCAGUGGGGAAUAUUGCACAAUGGGGGAAACCCUGAUGCAGCGACGCCGCGUGAGUGAAGAAGUAUUUCGGAAUGUAAAGCUCUAUCAGCAGGGAAGAAAAUGACGUUACCUGAUUAAGAAGCACCGGCUAACUACGUGCCAGCAGCCGCGGUAAUACGUAGGGGGCAAGCGUUAUCCGGAUUUACUGGGUGUAAAGGGAGCGUAGACGGCAGCACAAGUCUGGAGUGAAAUGCCCGGGCUUAACCCCGGAACUGCUUUGGAAACUGUGCAGCUAGAGUGCAGGAGAGGUAAGUGGAAUUCCUAGUGUAGCGGUGAAAUGCGUAGAUAUCAGGAGGAACAUCAGUGGCGAAGGCGACUUACUGGACUGUAACUGACGUUGAGGCGCGAAAGCGUGGGGAGCAAACAGGAUUAGAUACCCGGGUAGUC